CCUACGGGUGGCAGCAGUAGGGAAUAUUGCACAAUGGGGGAAACCCUGAUGCAGCAACGCCGCGUGGAUGAUGAAGGUUUUCGGAUUGUAAACCUCUUUCGUUAGAGAAGAUACUGACGCUACCUAACGAAUAAGCAUCCCCUAACUACGUGCCAGCAGCCGCGGUAAUACGGAGGGUGCAAGCGUUACUCGGAAUCACUGGGCGUAAAGAGCGCGUAGGCGGGAUAGCAAGUCAGAUGUGAAGUCCUAUGGCUUAACCAUAGCAGUGCAUUUGAAACUGUUAUUCUAGAGUAUGGGAGAGGUAAGUGGAAUUCUUGGUGUAGGGGUAAAAUCCGUAGAGAUCAGGAGGAAUACUCGUUGCGAAGGCGACCUGCUAGAACGUAACUGACGCUGAUGCGCGAAAGCGUGGGGAGCAAACAGGAUUAGAUACCCGGGUAGUC
rnacentral:rRNA from 1 species